CUCUGGCCUGCCGGCCAUCUCCCCCACAAGGGGGAGAAUACACGCGGCU
rnacentral:sRNA from 1 species